CGCGGCGGACGGGUGAGUAACACGUGGGUAACCUGCCCAUAAGACUGGGAUAACUCCGGGAAACCGGGGCUAAUACCGGAUAACAUUUUGAACUGCAUGGUUCGAAAUUGAAAGGCGGCUUCGGCUGUCACUUAUGGAUGGACCCGCGUCGCAUUAGCUAGUUGGUGAGGUAACGGCUCACCAAGGCAACGAUGCGUAGCCGACCUGAGAGGGUGAUCGGCCACACUGGGACUGAGACACGGCCCAGACUCCUACGGGAGGCAGCAGUAGGGAAUCUUCCGCAAUGGACGAAAGUCUGACGGAGCAACGCCGCGUGAGUGAUGAAGGCUUUCGGGUCGUAAAACUCUGUUGUUAGGGAAGAA
rnacentral:rRNA from 1 species